rnacentral:rRNA from 1 species
GACGAACGCUGGCGGCGUGCUUAACACAUGCAAGUCGAACGGAAAGGCCCUGCUUUCGUGGGGUGCUCGAGUGGCGAUCGGGUGAGUAACACGUGAGUAACCUGCUCUUGACUUUGGGAUAACUUCAGGUAACUGGGGCUAAUACCGGAUAGGAGCUCCUGCUGUAUGGUGGGGGUUGGAAAGUUUCGGCGGGUGGGGAUGGACUCGCGGCUUAUCAGAUAGUUGGUGGGGUAGUGGCUUACGAAGGCAUCGACGGAUCGCCGACCUGAGAAGGUGGCCGGGCACCUGAGGACUACGGUACGCCCCAGAAGGGUACCGGAGGCAACAGUGGGGAGUAUUGCCCAGUGAGCGGGAGUCUGUGACAACAGCGCCGGGUUCGGGAAGACGGCCUGUGGGGGAAGAACCGCUGUCGCCUGGGACGAAGCGUGAGUGACGGUAAUGUGAAAAGAAGCACCGGCUAACUUCGUG